rnacentral:rRNA from 1 species
AGAGACAGCAGUAGCCGCGGUAAUACGAAGGGUGCAAGCGUUAAUCGGAAUUACUGGGCGUAAAGCGUGCGUAGGCGGUUUGUUAAGUCUGUUGUGAAAUCCCCGGGCUCAACCUGGGAAUGGCAAUGGAUACUGGCAAGCUAGAGUGUGUCAGAGGAUGGUGGAAUUCCCGGUGUAGCGGUGAAAUGCGUAGAGAUCGGGAGGAACAUCAGUGGCGAAGGCGGCCAUCUGGGACAACACUGACGCUGAGGCACGAAAGCGUGGGGAGCAAACAGGAUUAGAUACCCGCGUAGUCCCUGUCUCUUAUAC